GGACACAAGACAGUCCAGACAGGACUUCACCGCUUUGAGUUUUCUCCCUGUGCAGACAUCACAAUCCACAUCUUCAGGUCCAGCAAAAUAGGCCUAUUACAACAGGAGCAGGAGCAACAGUUUGAAUUCUAGUAUUCCGUAUCUGCCUUACAAGUUCAGCAAAAAUAUUAUU